ACAGGGGCAAGAGGGAAACCUUGCCAGGAUUACAUAUGCCUGGCACUCAGGAAAUCCUAGUGACCUGUGUGGGGGAGACACUAUAAGGGAUAUCUGUGCCUAUUCCUGUCCAGGAUGUUUUCCUUCAGCCGUCUUCAGAACGCGUUCAGGGUUUCUCCAGGACAGGACGGCAGUGAGCUUCCUCCUGGAUUGACGUCACAAGUCAAAAUCUCCUCUCCUGCCUAAAAUUCCUGGUUUUCCAGUGUGAACAGAAAUGUUUUACUGUGGUCCGAGGAUAAUCCCACUAGGCACACAAGGGGCUCUAGUGGGCUUGCACGCAACAGGACAUAGGGCCUGAUUAAGGUCGCAUCGCACUUCUCCCUGUAUGUGCCUGAAAUUAGAAUGGUGUCUCCGCACAGACGCAGUUGGGAAGCAUGCGCAGUAUCAAGAUAUUACUCCACUAUGCUCACCAUUGGCAGUGUGUAGUACACCUCUGUAUCCGGCCCUUUAUCAGCAAAUAAAUGCAAUGUGAUUCUCCUA